rnacentral:tRNA from 1 species
GGAGUCGUGUCCGAGUGGUCGAAGGAGCACGAUUGGAAAUCGUGUAGUCAGCAAUGGCUCGAGAGUUCGAAUCUCUCCGACUCCGCCA